rnacentral:rRNA from 1 species
UUAAGCGACUAAGCGUACACGGUGGAUGCCCUGGCAGUCAGAGGCGAUGAAGGACGUGCUAAUCUGCGAUAAGCGUCGGUAAGGUGAUAUGAACCGUUAUAACCGGCGAUUUCCGAAUGGGGAAACCCAGUGUGUUUCGACACACUAUCAUUAACUGAAUCCAUAGGUUAAUGAGGCGAACCGGGGGAACUGAAACAUCUAAGUACCCCGAGGAAAAGAAAUCAACCGAGAUUCCCCCAGUAGCGGCGAGCGAACGGGGAGCAGCCCAGAGCCUGAAUCAGUGUGUGUGUUAGUGGAAGCGUCUGGAAAGGCGCGCGAUACAGGGUGACAGCCCCGUACACAAAAAUGCACAUACUGUGAGCUCGAUGAGUAGGGCGGGACACGUGGUAUCCUGUCUGAAUAUGGGGGGACCAUCCUCCAAGGCUAAAUACUCCUGACUGACCGAUAGUGAACCAGUACCGUGAGGGAAAGGCGAAAAGAACCCCGGCGAGGGGAGUGAAAAAGAACCUGAAACCGUGUACGUACAAGCAGUGGGAGCCUCUUAAUGGGGUGACUGCGUACCUUUUGUAUAAUGGGUCAGCGACUUAUAUUCUGUAGCAAGGUUAACCGAAUAGGGGAGCCGAAGGGAAACCGAGUCUUAACUGGGCGUUAAGUUGCAGGGUAUAGACCCGAAACCCGGUGAUCUAGCCAUGGGCAGGUUGAAGGUUGGGUAACACUAACUGGAGGACCGAACCGACUAAUGUUGAAAAAUUAGCGGAUGACUUGUGGCUGGGGGUGAAAGGCCAAUCAAACCGGGAGAUAGCUGGUUCUCCCCGAAAGCUAUUUAGGUAGCGCCUCGUGAAUUCAUCUCCGGGGGUAGAGCACUGUUUCGGCAAGGGGGUCAUCCCGACUUACCAACCCGAUGCAAACUGCGAAUACCGGAGAAUGUUAUCACGGGAGACACACGGCGGGUGCUAACGUCCGUCGUGAAGAGGGAAACAACCCAGACCGCCAGCUAAGGUCCCAAAGUCAUGGUUAAGUGGGAAACGAUGUGGGAAGGCCCAGACAGCCAGGAUGUUGGCUUAGAAGCAGCCAUCAUUUAAAGAAAGCGUAAUAGCUCACUGGUCGAGUCGGCCUGCGCGGAAGAUGUAACGGGGCUAAACCAUGCACCGAAGCUGCGGCAGCGACACUAUGUGUUGUUGGGUAGGGGAGCGUUCUGUAAGCCUGUGAAGGUGUACUGUGAGGUAUGCUGGAGGUAUCAGAAGUGCGAAUGCUGACAUAAGUAACGAUAAAGCGGGUGAAAAGCCCGCUCGCCGGAAGACCAAGGGUUCCUGUCCAACGUUAAUCGGGGCAGGGUGAGUCGACCCCUAAGGCGAGGCCGAAAGGCGUAGUCGAUGGGAAACAGGUUAAUAUUCCUGUACUUGGUGUUACUGCGAAGGGGGGACGGAGAAGGCUAUGUUGGCCGGGCGACGGUUGUCCCGGUUUAAGCGUGUAGGCUGGUUUUCCAGGCAAAUCCGGAAAAUCAAGGCUGAGGCGUGAUGACGAGGCACUACGGUGCUGAAGCAACAAAUGCCCUGCUUCCAGGAAAAGCCUCUAAGCAUCAGGUAACAUCAAAUCGUACCCCAAACCGACACAGGUGGUCAGGUAGAGAAUACCAAGGCGCUUGAGAGAACUCGGGUGAAGGAACUAGGCAAAAUGGUGCCGUAACUUCGGGAGAAGGCACGCUGAUAUGUAGGUGAAGUCCCUUGCGGAUGGAGCUGAAAUCAGUCGAAGAUACCAGCUGGCUGCAACUGUUUAUUAAAAACACAGCACUGUGCAAACACGAAAGUGGACGUAUACGGUGUGACGCCUGCCCGGUGCCGGAAGGUUAAUUGAUGGGGUUAGCGGUAACGCGAAGCUCUUGAUCGAAGCCCCGGUAAACGGCGGCCGUAACUAUAACGGUCCUAAGGUAGCGAAAUUCCUUGUCGGGUAAGUUCCGACCUGCACGAAUGGCGUA